GUUAUGGAUUAAAGUUUGAUGAUGAGAGUGAUGAGAACCCAUUUUGGGUGCAAUUUUCUAAGGAAACAAUCAGGGGUUUGAAGUCAUUGCUUGCUCAACAACCUGACAGCUGAAGUACAUAGAAUGGUCGAGUUUUCAGGACACGGUACCGCCUUUGCCUAACUUUUGGAUGCAUAUUUGUUUAUGUGUAUUGCAAUAUUAUGCUGCUGUUGAUUAAUGUAAGCCUUUUCCAGGUUGAAAUAAUUCCUGUCUAAACUUCAAAUACUUGUAUAUGCUUGUGAAAACAUGCUACUAGAGUUCUGAUUGGACUUGCGUCCCCUCUCCAUAAAAAUUGCCUUUAUCUCGAUGUUUUACAAUGGAAACUCUCAUUGUAUAUUGUCUUUGAUGAUAAUUAGACUGAUGAAAGCAGAAUUGCUUA